rnacentral:lncRNA from 1 species
CAAUAUUCAGCUUAAAGAAUUUUAAGCUGAGUGUUGGCACUGAGGAGGGACUAAACAUAGUGUCCGAGAGCGUUGUGCCAAAGUGGAGUUCUCUUUGCUUGUAGUGCUAUGGUAUUCUUCUUUACAGUUAAUCAAGAACAAAGCAAAGGUAUUUUCUUUCUAUUUACCUCAUAGGGAAAUAUAUUUUCAAUAUUCAUCAAAUUAUGUUGAUAUUUUAUAGUAUUGUAUAAUUUUAUUAAUUAUAAACAUUAUUUAUAUUAGCAUGGUAAUAUCAUAUAUAAAUCAAAUUAAUUUUGCAUAAAAAUGGGUGAUUUGUUAUAUAAAAUUGAAUCAUUGUUUGCUCAGAGUUUGACAAAUACUGCAAAUGUAUUUUUUGCCUUUAGACUUGGGCAAGGGGACAUUUGUCCCAGGUCUCUCAGUUCAAAAAAAAACUUAUUUUAAUAGGAGAUAAAAAUAAAAUAUUCAGAAUAAAAAUCAAACAAAAUAAUUGUUAAGAAUUAUUUGAAAUGAAUAUCCUGUAAUAAAAUUUUCUCUUUUGAUCAGUGUUGUUUUUUUUUAUAACUGCUUAAUUUUAGAAAUGUUUUUGAAUUUUUAUUAGCUAUCAGAUAAUGUAAAAAAUUAAUAUGAUAAACCUUAAUAAUUACUGAUAAUGUUAAAUCUUUCCAAAAUUAAAGAAUUUGUAAAACAGUACAAUCAUUUAUCCAAAUAUAUUAAAAUAAAGUCAGUUUGGACCAGUGGUGAGCUAUAAAAAUUUUAACAAAGAACUUGCACUUUACCUUAUAAAAAUAAAAUAUCAAAUUCUAAUUAAAUGUUUUACUUUUGACAAAAACAGAAAAUGCAAAUAAUUGUACAUGCAUAAGAAAACAUUUUUAAAAUAAAAAAAAAUCAUUAAAAUUAAAAAGAAUGAUGAAUAAAUUUAAUUAUGGUACAGUUUAUGUCAGAAACUGCAACACAUUAUUUUCUUCUUCUUUCAUGUCAGUUGAUCUUCUAGGAGGUUCUAAAGCUGAGAGAUGAUGUUCCAAAAAAGUUUUCACAAAAGGUUUAGGAUUAAAUUCUUUUAAAUCUCUUUUCUUUAAAUUUUAAGUUAUCUACAGUGCAUUUGGCCAAACUUAAAUGAAACCAGAUAAGACUCUAAUUUUCACCCUUCACACAUGUCAAAAAUACUUUUGCAUGCUAAGUCCAUACUCAUCUACCCUGCUUCAGAGGGCAUUAUCACUAGAUUGCCAUUAUUCGAGAUAUACAUUCAAAUACACAAAUAUGAGGAAUAGAAAGACUAACAUAAAUCAAAGUAUGAUUAUCACACAUAAGAUAUAUUUUUCUUGGAAUAAAUAAACAAGCAAACAAAAAGAACAAGGGGCUUGCAAAUUAAAAACAAAUUUAACAAAGGAC